GAGCAGAAUUGAUGAUGUAAGAGGGAGAGAGGGAUGAACUGCAGGAGCUGUGUUUUUGAGCAGGAGAGAGAGGGUGGGCUCUUGUGCACAAGGAAAGGUCUUGCUUUGGAGAGGAGCCUGGCUGCUUACCAAUAGCGACAAGAAGGAAGGCUGAGCAAACGGAAAGCAUCAUUCUGUGUCAAGCGUGGAAUGAGACGUCAUUUUUAAUGGCUGCAGCAUAUUGUGUUGUAGAGUUUUCAUGAUUUAUUUAACCAGCCCUCUCCUGAUGACCAAGUUCCAGGAAGGUGAAGUUAUCUGGCCAGGAGAUCCAGAGUCACACCUCGAGUGGACUGCGUGGGGCUGCAUUCAGCGAGUGCACUAGUUCAACUCUAAGCCUCAAUUUUGGAAAAUGGAGUCAUAAUACCUAUCUCAUAGGAUUGUCUGAAGUCCAUGGAGUAUGAGUUCAAAAAGAAAAAAAAAACUAUAAAUCUGCUGGAAGAAGGAAACACUCAGGUUCCUGAACAGAUCGGUGUGGGAAAGACCUGACUGACAAUUAGGAGAUGAACGAUCAUUUGGGGAGAAGCGAGCUUACUUAGCUGCAGAGUCUAUUAUGUAUUUGGGUACAUUAUUGUUUCUGAGUAACUCUUUGUUCCAGACUGAUCCACUUGGCAUGG
rnacentral:lncRNA from 1 species